UACGGAGGGUGCGAGCGUUGUCCGGAAUCACUGGGCGUAAAGGGCGCGUAGGCGGCGCGGAUAGUCGGCGGUGAAAGCCCGGAGCUCAACUCCGGGUCGGCCGUCGAUACUUCCGGGCUUGAGCACUGUAGAGGCAGAUGGAAUUCCGGGUGUAGCGGUGGAAUGCGUAGAGAUCCGGAAGAACACCGGUGGCGAAGGCGGUCUGCUGGGCAGUUGCUGACGCUGAGGCGCGAAAGCGUGGGGAGCAAACAGG
rnacentral:rRNA from 1 species